rnacentral:rRNA from 1 species
ACGUAGGUGGCAAGCGUUGUCCGGAUUUAUUGGGCGUAAAGCGCGCGCAGGCGGUUCUUUAAGUCUGAUGUGAAAUCUCGCGGCUCAAUCGCGAGCGGUCAUUGGAAACUGGGGAACUUGAGUGCAGAAGAGGAGAGUGGAAUUCCACGUGUAGCGGUGAAAUGCGUAGAGAUGUGGAGGGACACCAGUGGCGAAGGCGACUCUCUGGUCUGUAACUGACGCUGAGGCGCGAAAGCGUGGGGAGCGAACAGGA